GAUGAUUUUGGAUCCGACUGAGUGGCGAACUGGUGAGUAACACGUGGGUAACCUGCCCAGAAGAAGGGGAUAACACCUGGAAACAGAUGCUAAUACCGUAUAACAACAAGAACCACAUGGUUCUUGUUUGAAAGCUGGCCUUUGUGCUAGUGCUUCUGGAUGGACCCGCGGCGUAUUAGCUAGUUGGUGAGAUAAUAGCUCACCAAGGCAAUGAUACGUAGCAGACCUGAGAGGGUAAUCUGCCACAAUGGGACUGAGACACGGCCCAUACUCCUACGGGAGGCAGCAGUAGGGAAUCUUCCACAAUGGACGAAAGUCUGAUGGAGCAACGCCGCGUGAGUGAAGAAGGGUUUCGGCUCGUAAAACUCUGUUGUUAGAGAAGAACAGCCGUGAGAGCAACUGCUCACGGUAUGACGGUAUCUAACCAGAAAGUCACGGCUAACUACGUGCCAGCAGCCGCGGUAAUACGUAGGUGGCAAACGUUGUCCGGAUUUAUUGGGCGUAAAGGGAGCGCAGGCGGUUUAUUAAGUCUGAUGUGAAAGCCUUCGGCUUAACCGGAGAAGUGCAUCGGAAACUGAUAAACUUGAGUGCAGAAAAGGAUAGUGGAACUUCAUGUGUAGCGGUGAAAUGCGUAGAUAUAUGAAGGAACACCAGUGGCGAAGGCGGCUAUCUGGUCUGUAACUGACGCUGAGGCUCGAAAGCAUGGGUAGCAAACAGGAUUAGAUACCCUGGUAGUCCAUGCCGUAAACGAUGAAUGCUAGGUGUUGGAAGGUUU
rnacentral:rRNA from 2 species